UGCUUGCUUCAACAGCACUAUACUAAAACUGGAACGAUGGAGAGAAGAUUAGCAUGGCCCCUGCGCAAGAAUGACAAGCACAUUCAUGAAACAUUCCAUAAUUUU